UUAUUAAGCGGAGGAAAAGAAACUAACCAGGAUUCCCUCAGUAAGGGCGACUGAAGCGGGAAGAGCUCAAGAUGUUAAUCGGUGCCUCGGCGCUGAAUUGUGGUCUAUAGAUUUUCACGCUAUUGGCAGGGUCAAGUCCCUUGGAAUAGGGCGGCCUAGAGGGUGACACCCCCGUAAACCUUGCCUUUCGAGUGAUUAUCAACGAGUCGAGUUGUUUGGGAUUGCAGCUCUAAGCGGGUGGUAAAUUCCAUCGAAAGCUAAAUAUUGGUGGGAAACCGAUAGUGUACAAGUACCGUGAGGGAAAGAUGCAAAGAACUUUGAAAAGAGAGUUAAAGAGUACCUGAAAUUGCUGAAAGGGAAGCGAAGGAAACCAGUGUUGACCAUGUCAUAUUUUCUUGUCUGCUUGCAGUCGGGACGCUGUGAUAGGUCAGGUCUGACUUGGUUGAGCAGAAUUCAACUGCGCAAGGGGAGUUGACCCUUGUAUGCUGGAAUCAGUUUGACUGAGGUGAGACGAAAUGGUUUUCUUCCCCCG
rnacentral:rRNA from 1 species